CGCCACUUUAGCGACACACUUUCUACAAGAGUAAGAGUCGUUUCUAUAUAAGCCUUGUUCUAUGGUCCACAUCCAUUCUUUCUUUAGUGAAUAUGCUCUAAUGCUCCUGAAAGUUUCAUGUCCCCUCGGCACAAAACAGCAAAACAUGCGAAAACAAAACGAUUGUUUGCUAUAUCGCGGCGGAAUCGGGUUAAAGAGGUGCGAUAAACCCAAGAUAAGGAUCUCGAAGAAGCAAAGAACUGCAGGUCCGACCAGAAAGAGAAGAAACCAGAAAAGUUUAGGUAAGCCGAGAAAAGAAGAGAUGCCGCGUCCGAUAGGCUGUGAUAGAUGGGUCUUCAUUCAGCAUAAUACAGCGGCGAACGGCUUUCGUGGAAGUGGAGGAUAAAAUAGUUAAUAAGCACUUUAAGCCACGAUUCAUGUGCUGUAAGUAUAGGAUGGACGUAGCCAUAGGGAAAUAUAUUGUUGGCCACGAUAUGCUAA